GACGAACGCUGGCGGCGUGCUUAACACAUGCAAGUCGAACGGUAAGGCCCUGCUUGCGGGGGACGCGCGAGUGGAGCACGGGAGUGAAACACGGGAGUUACCCGCCCUAGUUUGUGGGAUACCUUCAGGAAAGUGGGGAAUAUAGGGGAUGGGCGCUUCUGAGGCUGGGGGGUGGUAGGAAAGUUUGGGGGGGUGGGGACGGACUCGCGGCUUACUUGCUUGUUGGUGGGGUAGGGGCUACCCAAGGCAUGGGUGGGUAGCCGGCCGGAGUGGGUGACCGGCCACAUUGGGACUGGGGUACGGCCCGAACUCCUCCGGGGGGCGGCGGGGGGGAAUAUUGCACAAUGGGCGGAGGCCUGAUGCAGCAACGCCGCGUGCGGGAUAACGGCUUUCGGUUGUUAAACCCCUUUCGCCGGUGACGAAGCUUUAGUGACGGUAAUUAGUUAAGAAGCACCGGCUAACUACGUG
rnacentral:rRNA from 1 species